GGAAGAUGUGCCUCUGCCAGGCAUCUGCUGGCCACUGAGCAGUCCCCUCCAGAGUCAGAGACUGUGGAUCAGGAAAGAGCAGGGAGAGCGAGGUGAGGACACACGGGUUGGCUUUGCUUCUGGCACCCACCUUCUCAGCUGGUGGGUGGCCUGUCUCCCUGUCUUAGCUUAGGCUGCCAUAGCAAAAUCCCACAGACUGGAGGCGCUUAAACAACAGUUCUGGACGCUGGAAUUCCAAGAUCAAGGUGUCAUCGGGGUUGGUUUCUCCUGAGGCCUCUCUCCUUGGCUUGCAGAUGGUCAUGCUAGAAUUAGGGCUUCAGUGUAUGACUCUGGGGAGGACAUGAUUCAGUCUAUAAAACUCCCUUAACUCUCUGAAGUGAAGCUGUUUUGGUCGGAGGCUUAUCCUCUCCCACAUCUCUUCCUGUUACCUGAAUCAGGCCUGGCACAGUUCUCAGGACCUCUUUCAACAGCCCCUGGCAUGGCCUGGGAAUAGAUGUAUUCUGCUCUUUAAGGUCCGAAAUCCUCAAAACCCAGCUGAGUGCUGGGAAAAGUACCCUUCUCUAAUAUGACACAAAUGGUUUAGGUUAACUUGGCCCAAACUCUUAAUUCUACAGCCUUCCUACAAUUUCCUACUUUUUUGUCACCAGCUUCUCUCUGACUCCUUGCUAAGUUCCUCAGGCCUGCUGGCCUCAGACCAGCUACAGAAGUCCAUCCUUUUACAGUCUCCACACACUCACAAGCAGCAUUUUCCCUGGUCACUUAACUUCCGGAUGGUUUCCACGUGCAACAGCCUUCUGCGACCUCCUCCUGACCCUCAGCCCUUCAUCUUCCCCAGAGCUGGGGCUCCCCUGUUUAUUUGGCCCCUGGGAAGUGUGGCCCAGCUCUCGUGUGCAGCUGAUGGUGUGCUGCCCUGCUCAGCUCCCCUUCAGGACCGAGGAGACCAUCUUCUAUCUGCAUGGGAUGUUGCCCCCAGAAGCUCUCACAGCUGAGCCCUUCCCCAGGAACUGCCCCAGACUGAAGGGAGCUGCCUCACCAACAGGGCAUCCUACACCCAGUGACUUCUCCAUGGGAGGUGGGGUACAAAGCGUAGCCCUUAUGCCUCCCUUUGGGAACCUUCCCUGGUAAACUUCUUGCAUGCCAA
rnacentral:lncRNA from 10 species